rnacentral:rRNA from 1 species
AUUGAACGCUGGCGGCAGGCCUAACACAUGCAAGUCGAGCGAGCGGCGGAGGGGAGAGAAAUGUGUGGGACACUGCUUGAUGGAGGGGGAUAAUUACGGGAAACGGUAGCAAAAACGGAAAACCAUCAGCUGUGACAAGGUUGGAUUAGCUAGUAGGUGGGGUAAUGGCUAACCUAGGAGACGAUCCACAGCGGGUCUGAGAGGAUGACGGGCCACACUGGAACUGAGACACGGUCCAGACUCCUACGGGAGGCAGCAGUGGGGAAUAUUGCGCAAUGGGCGCAAGCCUGAUGCAGCCAUGCCGCGUGUGUGAUGAAGGCCUUCGGGUUGUAAAGUACUUUUAGCAGGGAAGCGGUACCCGCUGAGGAAGCACCGGCUAACUCCGUGCCAGCAGCCGCGGUAAUUC